AUUAAGUGGAUCCAAGACAAUGCUAUGAGAUGUGUGUUUGUCUAUGCCAAAAUCAGGUUCAUAACAUUGUUGAUCAUUUAUCACUGACGAUGACUGUGCAACAUCAAAAGAGCCUUCAUUAGCUCACUACUUUGGAGUAAUGAACAAGCUUACAUUUUCAUCUGGAGGUAGGAUUUCUGGUCCUUUUAUGCUCUGGCACUCGUCAUUCAUGGGAGGAAUGCACAAGUUGGAAGCUUGUUCAGGAAUGCCUGCCUCUGCUUCGUUGGACCUGUUGGAUCUCACUUGUUCUUCUUCCUUGGAUUGACCAACUGUGUUAUGCCUUCUCUGCUUUGCUUCUGGCAACAUGGAAGUCUGAUGUUUCAGUGGCCUUCCCAAGUUGUGAGGAUUUCCACUUCUUCUUGCCACCAGUUCAUCAAUCUUUUGAGGAACAUCAGCCUUUUGAACUCUUGCAACCUUUACCUUCUGCACAGCAGGUUUACUAGCAUGCGGAGGGACUCUUCUAAAUCCAUGGCCCCCUUCAAUAGCUCCCUUCCAAUUUCUAUUGAAUAUCUAUCAAAGUUAACACCAUUAGAGCAGGCUCUCAGGAUCUGAUUUAAUUUUUGUGCCCCUUUAGAUAUCUCUUUGAGAUGGAGAUGAGGAAGGUUAGGGAAGCGGCUAGUUGAGGAGCUGUGCCUAUCAAUGCUGCUUCUUUCCAUCUUGCCCAUGUCUACUGAUCGUCUGCUAAUCUGAUUCAGGAAACCCAGCACUGAACUAUUGCCAGAUGAAUCCAUUCUUCUGAGGCUUCCUCCAUUUUCAAGAGCAAAAGCCAGUGCCAUGGAUAGAUCUCCAAUGUGUUCUGAGCUUUUACCUCUCCCAAAAGGAACAAUCUGUUCUGAACCCUCUCCAAUGGAGACUGGCCUAUUGCCUCCCAUAGACUUGGGGCGUGUAUUUCCAUUUUUUAAGACAAUCUGCACAAGUGAAGCAAAUCAAGUAAUUGAAGUAAAUGAGAUCUGCUAGCUUCAGCCAUCAUAACUUACAGUUUGAUGCGUUUUCAUUUCUGUGGAUCCUCUAUAAGCGCGCUUGGAAUAAGAAUAUGCAUCUGUACAGACAGACUACUUUUAGAAAAUAAUUAUACUUCUGACACCAAUGUUUAUUAAUUAUCUGCAUACUUCUACGCAACAUUUCAAUCUUCCAGUGGCAGCAUUCAAGGCCGUUGCUUCUAAAAGCCCCUCUCUAGUUUGAGAUAGACUUCUCAUUUCAAUUAUUUACCUUAUAUUGGUUAGAAUGAACAUGCAUUUAUGAUUUAUCCGGUCACAUAUCUUCAUUUCUUAUUUGGUUUAUCUUCCUUCCUUCCUCGCCGUAUUUUCUUUAUUUGUUUUUAAGUUGUGUGAUAUGUGAUUCGCGGAGUGAUAGCUGAUGGGAACUUGAAACUCUUAACUAAUUUUGUUUAAUUCUGGAUGAAAAUUUAUUUGAUGGUGUUCACUGUACUCUGAAUAUGGACAAUGUGGUAAUGGAAGCAAAGCGAACAUAAAAAGCUUUGCAUCUUUCAUUGUCAUAGUCGUGUUAAAUUGAAGUGCUGAAUAUUUAUGGCCUAAGAUGGGAAAAAGAAGGAGCUUUGAAACAGUUUAUGCCAACUUGUCUUUAAAACACUUGAUGCCUGCUGAUCUUGGAAUUGCUUUAAGUAGUUGAAUAAGAAAUAACAUUUACAGAGAAGAAAGUUCAUCUUCGGGGCCUAGACACCUACAACUGAAGCUUGAAGUUGCUCCUGAGGAAAAAGGCUACUGUUCAUAUUUUGCAAUGUGAAAUUUCAUUGGAAUGCUUACCUGCUGCUAUUGCCUUUGAACUUUUUGAGCUUUGAGAAGCAGACAUUCGUUCCUUCCGCACCCGGAGAUCAUCUAAAAGCUUCUGUGCAAAAUCUGAUCUUUUUGCCAUGUUUCCUCUCAGGUGGAACCAAGUUUCCAAAGCACUUCAACCAGAAAAAUAUAAGUAUAAUGUCUUCCGCAUUGUGUUUUUGAUGUUUUCUCAAAGAUAAGAUGAUUUUUUUUUUCUUUUUCUCUUUGUUUUCUUUCUGGUUGGGAGAGUUCUUUCAGAGUUGGGUAAGGUGGGAAGUCUAGUCCAAGGAAAUACAAUGGAAUUUUGAAUUUUCACCCUGAAAAGGUUAGUUAACGUGGACGUUAGCUCUCUCUUUCUUCCCUGUAUGCUACCCUGACUUUGAUUCUAAUCCAAGCAAUGGCAUAGGUUUCAACUUUCAGUGGGCUUCCAUUCCAAGCCUUUGAUUGUUAACAUCUUUUCCAUUUAUUUUCCUUAUUUUAUUCUUCUUGUUGCUUGAAAAUUAAUGUUUAUUUUUAAUUUUUCCACGUAAUCCAUGAGAAUCAGGUAAAGUGAUCAUGGAUGUAUGAUCACGGACGUGCUUUGGGUUGAAGUAAAGAACGAGGUAUAUAAGGACGAGUGGGAGAAUGGCCAAAACACGAGGCACAGAUUCUUUGCAAUGGCAUAUCACAAACUUACAAAGCUUUUGAGUGGGUUGGGUUGAGUGACAAGAAUAUUUGGUUUGUCAGGAAUCAUGAAAGGUAUAAGCUCUCCAUGUCUGCGAAAUUGCUUUUCUAUAUGCAAAUCAAUUCUAUGGGAGUCAAUAAGAUAAUCAUCUGCAGUGGGUGGGGAAGGGCUGUCAUUUGUCCAGUGAUUAAAAUCAAAAGGAGAAAAGACAAUGUCAUCAACAAAACAAAGCCAUAUGCAGUAAAAUCCAUGCCGUUCCAUUAUCUUAUUCCCCUCGUAUUCAUGGCAGCUUCAUGACGCUGCACCUGCCAUACACCUACGCAGGAACCACCAGACAAUGAUGCAGUAACUCUUGGUAUGCAUGAUUGUAUAAUGACAAUCAGAAAUUUAAAAUAUCUAUCCUUGAUAUAAAUUUUCAGAAUGGUUAGAAUUACUCUUUUGAAAAAAUUUUAGUGGACUUGGUUUAUUAUAUUAAAGUGAUUUUUUUUUUCAA